CGACGAUCUGUACUUGGUCUGAGAGGAUGACCAGGCACACUGGAACUGAGACACGGUCCAGACUCCUACGGGAGGCAGCAGUGGGGAAUUUUCCGCAAUGGGCGCAAGCCUGACGGAGCAAUACCGCGUGAGGGAGGACGCUUUUUGGAGUGUAAACCUCUUUUAUUAGGGAAGAAAUGAUGACGGUACCUAAUGAAUCAGCAUCGGCUAACUCCGUGCCAGCAGCCGCGGUAAUACGGAGGAUGCAAGCGUUAUCCGGAAUUAUUGGGCGUAAAGCGUCCGUAGGUGGCUUUAUAAGUCUUUUGUCAAAUCGUGCAGCUUAACUGCAUACAGGCAGAGGAAACUAUAGAGCUAGAGUGCGAUAGGGGUCACAGGAAUUCCCAGUGUAGCGGUGAAAUGCGUAGAUAUCGGGAAGAACACCAGCGGCGAAAGCGUGUGACUGGGUCUGCACUGACACUGAGGGACGAAAGCUAGGGGAGCGAAAGGGAUUAGAUACCCCUGUAGUCCUAGCCGUAAACGAUGACAACUAGGUGUGGUUCGUAUCGACCCGAGCCGUGCCGUAGCCAACGCGUUAAGUUGUCCGCCUGGGGGAGUACGCACGCAAGUGUGAAACUCAAAGGAAUUGACGGGGGCCCGCACAAGCGGUGGAGUAUGUGGUUUAAUUCGAUGCAACGCGAAGAACCUUACCAAGGCUUGACAUCCUCGGAAUCCUUGUGAAAGCAGGGAGUGCCUUCGGGAACCGAGAGACAGUGGGUGCAUGGCUUGUUCGUCAGCUCGUGGUCGUGAGAUGUUGGGUUAAGUCCCGCAC
rnacentral:rRNA from 1 species